GUGCCAGCAGCCGCGGUAAUACGGAGGGUGCAAGCGUUGUCCGGAAUCACUGGGCGUAAAGGGUGCGCAGGCGGGGCAGCAUGUCGGAGGUGAAAGCCCAUGGCUCAACCAUGGAAGUGCCUUCGAAACUGUUGCUCUUGAGUCCCGGAGAGGCUGUCGGAAUUCGUGGUGUAGCGGUGAAAUGCGUAGAUAUCACGAGGAACACCAGAGGCGAAAGCGGACAGCUGGACGGGUACUGACGCUCAGGCACGAAAGCGUGGGGAGCAAACAGGAUUAGAUACCCGGGUAGUCC
rnacentral:rRNA from 1 species